AACCAUAGAAACCUGCGGAGUACCUGCGGAAGGAUCAUUACAGAGUUAUCCAACUCCCAAACCCAUGUGAACUUAUCUCUUUGUUGCCUCGGCGCAAGCUACCCGGGACCCCGCGCCCCGGGCGGCCCGCCGGCGGACAAACCAAAACUCUUGUUAUCUUAGUUGAUUCUCUGAGCGUCUUAUUUAAUAAGUCAAAACUUUUAACAAUGGAUCU
rnacentral:misc_RNA from 1 species